rnacentral:rRNA from 1 species
UACAGAGGGUGCGAGCGUUGUUCGGAAUUACUGGGCGUAAAGCGCGCGCAGGCGGCUUCUUAAGUCUGACGGUGAAAUGCCGGGGCUCAACCCCGAGCGUGCCGGAGAUACUGGGAGGCUGGAGACGAGUAGAGGCAAGCGGAAUUCCGGGUGUAGAGGUGGAAUGCGUAGAGAUCCGGAAGAACACCGGAGGCGAAGGCGGCUUGCUGGGCUCGGUCUGACGCUGAGGCGCGAAAGCGUGGGGAGCGAACAGG